AUACCUACCUGGCAGGGGAGAUACCAUGAUCAUGAAGGUGGUUCUCCCAGAGCGAGGCUUAUCCAUUGCACUCUGGAUGUGCUGAUCCCUGUGAUUUCCCCAAAUGUGGAAAAAACUCGACUGUAUGAUUUGUGGGAGUGGGGGACUGCAUUUGUACUCUCCCCUA
rnacentral:snRNA from 1 species